UAGGGAAUCUUCCGCAAUGGACGCAAGUCUGACGGAGCAACGCCGCGUGAGUGAAGAAGGAUUUCGGUUCGUAAAACUCUGUUGUUAGAGAAGAACAGCGCAUAGAGUAACUGUUAUGCGUGUGACGGUAUCUAACCAGAAAGCCACGGCUAACUACGUGCCAGCAGCCGCGGUAAUACGUAGGUGGCAAGCGUUGUCCGGAUUUAUUGGGCGUAAAGCGAGCGCAGGCGGUCAAUUAAGUCUGAUGUGAAAGCCCCCGGCUCAACCGGGGAGGGUCAUUGGAAACUGGUUGACUUAAGUGCAGAAGAGGAGAGUGGAAUUCCAUGUGUAGCGGUGAAAUGCGUAGAUAUAUGGAGGAACACCAGUGGCGAAGGCGACUCUCUGGUCUGUAACUGACGCUGAGGUUCGAAAGCGUGGGUAGCAAACAGG
rnacentral:rRNA from 1 species